GCCCACUAACUCCAUCUUUUCUAAAAUGUCUGAUGAUUCACAUAAAUCUGGAAAGAUCUCAAGAUAUCUAUUUCUGCUAGAAUUUUUCAGAAUCUGUAUGAAACAUGAUCUCUUGAAAAUAAUUAACAUCACAAAAAAGUCUCCUUUUGUAUGAUUGUAUCUCCAAAUGAAAAAAAAAAAUGUUUUGAAUAUAGCUUUAACACUCUGCCAUUUUUUUCUUAAUUUAAUUAGAAAGAGUGGGUAGGACUGGGGCAACAUUAUUCCAUAACUAAUUAUAUUUAUUUUGUUGCCAACUCAUUCAUUGCAUCUACUCUGAAACUACACAUUGGCAACGUGUUAAGUUAUAUUAAAUCUGUAUUUUUAAACCAUUUUUGGGGGGGCAUAUUCUGUCUGCAUCCAAAAGCUUUAUCUGAUGCAGGGGUGUUCUAAUGACAGUUUUGAAAAUAAAAAUUAUAUUUUUUCUUAUAAUUUACUCCUUGUGUUUAAUAUGAACCUUAACAACUUGGAUUGGCAGUUAGGAAAAAGAAAUUAAUACUCUUAUGAUAGUAAUAAACAAGAAACCAGAAUUGAAAUGUUAAUAAGGCUGAAACCUCCCUGUUUUGCCUGAUAAUUGCCCCUGAACCAUCCUGUACUGAGGAAAACCAGUGUGUAUAUGGCACAUUCAUCAACACCUGUAUGGAGAAAUGUAGUUUCACUCAUUUCAUUGAUGAGUGUCUUGUUUCCUGAGUAUAUUCAGUGACUUCUGGGGGGGUUCAACGAAUGUACUGCAUAUUCCAUAGCAUAGCUGAGUUCCUUUAGAGGGAAGUUCUUUUGUGGGAGCAUAUGCCAGUAUCAUUUUUAGCUCAAGGACAAUUUCUUCCAUAUAAUGCCACAUUCAGGCAUUUGGUAAAUGCUUAAGGUGGUACAAGGAUCUUCUCAUAGGAAAAUAUUGACUCUAUUUGCUCCCUAAGUAUAUGCUGCUUAAGUGGAUUGACCUCCCCAGGUAUAAAAAAAAAAACUGGUCUACCGCCUACAGUUUAACACCACCAAUAAAAUUGCCUUGAAUACGUAAUAUUUACUGUGACUUCAACCCUCAGCUUGUAUAAAGGGUUUAUAUUAAAAAAUGAUCUCUUUGAAUAAUAGUCCUCUGACUUUUUCAAAGCUGCAGUUGAAGAUAGUGCUACUGGCUUACCCAUCAUUUAUACAAAAAAAUCUCCUGCUAAGUUUUUGCUUGCUUGAGAUUUUAGCAGAAUAAAUGUUUGUCUCUUCAGAGGAAUUUUAUGCUAUUUACUUUGACAUAAAGAGGUAAAAUGAUGUGGUAUGAUGUUGUGCUCCUCUUAGGUGGAGUUAAGUCCAAACUUACCAUUCAACAGCCCUGUGACUGGUAGCUUCUAAACACAUUUUUGUUGCCUUCCAUUAUGUUUCCAAGACUAAUUAGCUUAUUUUGCAAAAUGUUUAGACUUUAAGCUCUUAGGGUAUUUAGUCAAAUGGAAUAAAUGCUUUUACAAGGAAAGUCACAAUGCCAUUCAACUUAAUGUGGUAAAAUAAUUCAGUGGGUGCCAGGAUAUUCAAAUCAAUUCAAUAUUUAGGCAGCCCUUCAAUUCGGCGUUGUGUCAGAAACUGGCAGUUGCAAAAGGAGUAGAAGCCAUGGUGUUUUAGUGCCGUACAUUUUUAAAUUUUUCACAAUCUUUAUUUAGAAAGUCUCAAAUGGUUGGGAAAAUAAAUAUACGUGUCUUCAAGGGGAAAAAAUCAUCUCUAAUAGCACUAAAUUCAAACACAGAAAACUUGAAAAUCCCUGAUGACAAGCUAGAACUAAAGACAGAUAUCAAAUAAAGUGUGGAGCAGGUAUAGUUUAUGCCUGGGGAGCCAAUCUAGCAAACUCACACUCCAGAGUAGGUUGAAUAUUGCCUCUAAGUCUCAGAGCAAGUAUAUUUGGUCAGAAAAUAGUUUUGCAUGCUGUUUGUGUGUGUUUAUGCAUGUGGGUGGGUAACACAACAUUAAAGUUCUUGUGCAUUUUAAAACUAUGGAGUCAUUUUAAAAGAGAAAUUUGCAGGGAAUUGAUGAUUAAUUAUAUAUUGCCAUUUCAUAAUUAUCCAUACUUAGUCCCAUGCUCUAAUUAUUUUUCACGUUUCUAAGCUUUUCUGUAGUUGUUCUUUAAAAAGAGAUAAUCAACAACUCAUUAGGAUCCUGGGGGAAAACAGAAUGGAAGGAAGGAAAGGCAGGAAGACCAAGAUUUGCUUUCAAAUCUAUUUUUCCCUUCUAAGUUUUAUUGCACAUUAUUAUCCUUGUUUUCAUUCAUGUAUUCUUUCCAGGAUAUAGUUUUAUUUGUUUUUGCUCCUUUUGUAGUUGGUCCUCAGGCAGAUUAUUGUUGCAAGAUUUAUCAGCAUUGUGUAUUGUCCUUAAUUUUCCCUAAUGAAGUUCCUAUUUGAGCCCUGGGGUCUGGCUUGGCUCUGCCGCAUUCAGUUGCGUAUGUGUAGAGAGUCGCUCUGCCCCAUUUGGGAUUGUAUUGUAUUAAUCAUAAAUGGUCUCAUUCUGCUUCUGUCUGGUAUUUCUCGUUAUUGUUUACAUGAAACUAUACACUUUCUAAAUGGGGAUAUUUCACACUCUGUUAUAAUUAUGAUAUUUAUUUUGUUUGUCGAUUUCAGCUUAUAUAACAUUCUUCAUUGGGAAACAUACCACAUGCAUGGCUAGUUUGGAUACAUAAAAUUUGGAGGUAGAAUUGAAUUUUCCCAUUUACAAAAGCACAAAUCCCCUUUGAGGAUGAGGUGUCCUUACAUCCCCAGAAUGGAAAAGGAAGCAUGUGAAGUGGUCGUAGGAGACUGUGUUUUGUUACGUCCUAAGUGUAGGCAUUCUUAGUCUAACUCUUUUCAUCCCAUUCACUCUUUCUUCCCCAGUGUCUCUUUGUUCUAUUGUUGUUUUCCAAACAUUCCAUACUAUUGACUAUUCCACUUACCAUUUACUAUUCUGUAUUUACAAUGCUGUAGCAUCUCAAGGCUCCAUGCUUUUGCAGAGGAAAGUUGAAGCCCAUAUUUAUCUCCUUUGUCUAGAAGGAACAGAGACUGUCUGAGGCAUUAUUCAGUCUGGGAUGCCUAUCUUAACUCCUGGAGUCUGAAUCUGAAUUAGGUACCCACCUUCCAUAUGCCACAGUAACACUCUGUGUAUAUUUAUCAUACCUUGCAUUCCACCAAAUUGGAAAUGUUGGUUCAGUUCACUGGUUAUUUCAUUAGACUGUAGUUUCCUGUAGGCUAGAGACUGUAUCAUGUCUGCUGGGUCUCCUCCAGCCUAUCUUCUAUCAAAUCCUUACAAUCAAUAGCAACUCAAACUCUUUUAUCACUGAAGUCUCACGUGCCCAUACGCAUCCUCUAUGCCUCCUCCUACCUGUUAACUCCUCAAAUUGAUUUCUAAAACACUGUCUUAUGAUUUGCUUCACUUUCUACUUCUAAUAAAAUGUUCACUCUGUGCUUUAUAUUGCCCUCCAACUAGUUUAUGAGAUUCUAUUAUUUGUUAUUGCCAGCCCCCACUAUAUUGUGCCAAGCAAAAUACUGUGUAUACAACAUUUGUUUAUUCAUCUUAAAACAUUUGGUCAUUUGAACAACAAAAUACCCAUUCCUUCAUAUAUACAUAUGUAUGUAUUAUAUAUAUGUGAUGUAUAUAAUACAUAUAAAUAUAAAUACACAUAUAAAAUGAGAGUAUGUAUACAUAUAUGCAAAUAUAAAUGCAUAUAUAUAAACAUAAAUGCACAUAAAAAUGUGUAUAUGUAUGUAUAAAUGCAUAUGUAAUUUGCCUAGAAAAAUAGAGAUUAUCAGAAAAAUUGUUCUGUCUGGAAUACCUAUCUUGACCCCCAUAGUCUUUGUUGGUGUCCGUUUUUCAAAGUCUAUGAGUCUAUUCAUCAUAUCUUAGAUUCUACUGAAUUGAAAACUAUUCAUAUAUGUACAUGUGUAUAUAUGCAUGUGUGUGUGUGUGUGUGUGGAUAUGUGUGUGGAUAUGUGUAUGUGUUUGUGUACACGGAUGUGUGAAUUUCCUAUGACAUGCAUUGGUUAUACAAUACAUUUUAAGUUUUAUAAUUCUUUUUAUUUGGCUUAUUAUUAGAACAGAUUCAAAAUAUCUUUCUACUUACGAUUCAUUGAUGAAAACAGUUAUCAUCAUUAUAAAUUUUAACCUUUUUAAUAACUAUUCAAAUUAUUUUAGGACUUAGAUGGUAUUAGAUAUUUAGCACACAUGUUCUUUAAAGUUGUCAUACGUAUAUGGGUGUUUGUGUCAUACUUUUUAGGUACAGUUGUGGAAUAUAUAUCAGGAAAAUGCUAGGAAAAAAAAUAGUAUCACCAACAUUAAUGAAAACAAGGUGUAAUCCUUGGUGGACAAUUACUUGCACAAGAAAUGCUUGCACAUUUAUUGAAAAUGUUUUAAUCCCUCUUUUUAAACUGAAUGUUCUUCUCCGUUUAUGUCUUUUUUUUUUAGGCUGCUUCCAUUUGUCUGUUCCAUCAUUUUUAUUAGAAUAACCAUUACCCACAGGCAAUUACUCUCAAAUCACCUAUGUUGGGGCAUUUUAAUCUAUUGGUUGCAUUCAUCUACCAUCUCAAAAUUAAUUAAGUAAAUUUAAAUCCUUCCUUCCUACAUUUCACUUUAAUUUCUCUUAUAUCAUAUUCUUUUAUACUUAAUGCUGGCCACAGUUCCUGUAACAAUAAUCCUCAAUUUCUCUUUUGUACUUUUAUAUUUAUCUAUUUCUGAGUACACUCAUUUUCAUCAUUACUAAUAGGCUGCAUUUUGCUUUCCACCGGGACUUAGUUCUUCUGUAUUGUCUUACCGAGAAAUCGUAAGUCCUCUCUCCCUAGUUUUUUUUGGUAUUUGUUUUGUUAUGAAAUUAUUUUUAGCACUAUUUGAAGUAGAACUUUGCAAUAAUCAGACAGUAGCCUUAAAAAGGAGUACAUUAUCCUUUUGUGAGAGUUGGGAGCUGGGUGAGGGGAGACAAUGAUUGUAUUUUUAUGCUUUGGAUUUAGCCAAAUGAUUUGGAGACUUAGCCUACAAAAGGAUUGUGGAACAGUGAAAGAACAUAAUGGAAUCAUACCUGUUGCCCAAGUGCUAAAUACUGAUCUCAGCUUAACUGCUGCCAGGAGAAAGUGUGUAAGCUGGGAGAUACAAAGGCAGGUCACACCCAGCCAUACAAUUGUCUUGCAUCUGUCUCUGGGAUCCUUGACAGCUUGGCAUCCCUCUUAUACCAAAUUCCUUCUCUGCACCUGAAGGAAAUUCCCUCUAAGGCUGAAAACCAAAACCAAGACUGCACUAAAUUCAUCGAGGUAAAAGAGUUCCUGAAACUUUUUGGAGACAACGUAUUAUCUUCCUUUCCUGGUGUUUCCGUAAUGCACCCAGAUUGAAUAAAGCAAUGAUUGUUUUGUAAUUCCUCUAGUAUUUGUCAUAUAGGUAAAUGAUAAAUUUGUCUUUAAUCACACAUAUUAUGGAUUACCAUUGUAUUAUAUUAAUGCGGCAUUAUUUGUGAUUCUUCCAAUACUAUUUUAUUUUCAUGUUAAUUUAUUUUAAAUGAAACUCUGAAGUGUAUUACCCACUUACCAUGUGCUUUAAAAAUAUUUUUUAAUAAAUUGCUUCAGAGUUCAAUAAGUUCCUUUUUUCACUUUUACUAUUACUAUAUAAUUUUAAAGAAUGCAUAACCUUCUUUUUUAUUUUUAGAAAUAAUUUGAUCUUGUAAGUGUAGUUAGUGAAAAAGAAUGAAAUAUUCAUGGAGUAUAAUAAAAUUGGGACUUUUUCUUUUCUAUCCAGUCUCUAAGAUAACUUUUCAACAUCCAUCAUCUUAAAGUUAUCAUUAGCUACUCGAAGGCAAUUAAGAAAUAUCCACUUUCUUCCAAUUCUCAUACUUAUUUAUAUUUAACGAAUGAUUUUUAAGGUAAUUUUGUAGACAAGAAGUUUGUAUUCUACCAUCUGCAGGUCUUUAUGGGGUGGGGAAGCUCAGAUCUGAAAAGGAGGGCAUAUAGGGUGGAAUCUAUGAUUUCAAUUGCUUUUUUAUAUUCAUCAGUGUCAUUAGUAUAGUCAUUUAUAUAAGUCAGUUCCAAUUUGUAUUUACCACUGCCCAACCCAUUACCACACGAGAAAAUAAGAUUUUGCAUUUG